UACGGAGGGUGCGAGCGUUGUCCGGAAUCACUGGGCGUAAAGGGCGCGUAGGCGGCGCGGAUAGUCGGCGGUGAAAGCCCGGAGCUCAACUCCGGGUCGGCCGUCGAUACUUCCGGGCUUGAGCACCGUAGAGGCAGAUGGAAUUCCGGGUGUAGCGGUGGAAUGCGUAGAGAUCCGGAAGAACACCGGUGGCGAAGGCGGUCUGCUGGGCAGUUGCUGACGCUGAUGCGCGACAGCGUGGGGAGCAAACAGG
rnacentral:rRNA from 1 species